GCUGACAGAUAGCAUUCUGCAACUCUCACAUGGUCACUCACUGAAGCUGAGCAGGGCUGCACCUGGUCAGUACCUGGAUAGGAGACCAUAUGGGAAAGCUAGGUUGCUGCCAGAA
rnacentral:rRNA from 1 species